UACAGAGGAUGCAAGCGUUAUCCGGAAUGAUUGGGCGUAAAGCGUCUGUAGGUGGCUUUUUAAGUCCGCCGUCAAAUCCCAGGGCUCAACUCUGGACAGGCGGUGGAAACUACCAAGCUGGAGUACGGUAGGGGCAGAGGGAAUUUCCGGUGGAGCGGUGAAAUGCGCAGAUAUCAGGAGGAACACCGGUGGCGAAGGCGGGUCUCUGGGCCGAAACUGACGCUGAGGAGCGAAAGCGUGGGGAGCGAACAGG
rnacentral:rRNA from 1 species